rnacentral:rRNA from 1 species
GACGAACGCUGGCGGCGUGCUUAACACAUGCAAGUCGAACGCUGAAGCUUGGUGCUUGCACUGGGUGGAUGAGUGGCGAACGGGUGAGUAAUACGUGAGUAACCUGCCCUUGACUCUGGGAUAAGCCUGGGGAAAUGGGUCUACUACUGGAUACGACAUGUCACCGCAUGGUGGUGUGUGGAUUGGGUUUUGGUGGUUUUGGAUGGGCUCAGGGCCUAUCAGCUUGUUGGUGGGGUAAUGGCUCACCAAGGCGACGACGGGUAGCCGGCCUGAGAGGGUGACCGGCCACCAUGGGACUGAGACAGGGCCCAGACUCCUACGGGAGGCAGCAGGGGGGAAUAUUGCACAAUGGGCGGAAGCCUGAGGCAGCGACGCCGCGUGAGGGAUGACGGCCUUCGGGUUGUAAACCGCUUUCAGCACGGAAGAAGCGAAAGUGACGGUACGUGCAGAAGAAGCGCCGGCUAACUACGUG